rnacentral:rRNA from 1 species
AUUGAACGCUGGCGGCAUGCCUUACACAUGCAAGUCGAACGGUAACGGGCCUUCGGUUGCCGACGAGUGGCGAACGGGGGAGUAAUACAUCGGAACGGGCCCGAUCGUUGGGGAUAACGAGGCGAAAGCUUUGCUAAUACCGCAUACGAUCUACGGUUGAAAGCAGGGGACCGCAAUGCCUUGCGCGGACGUUGCUGCCGAUGGCAGAUUAGGUAGUUGGUGGGAUAAAAGCUUACCAAGCCGACGAUCUGUAGCGGGUCUGAGAGGAUGAUCAGCCACACUGGAACUGAGACACGGCCCAGACUCCUACGGGAGGCAGCAGUGGGGAAUUUUGGACAAUGGGCGAAAGCCUGAUCCAGCAAUACCGCGUGCAGGAUGAAGGCCUUCGGGUUGUAAACUGCUUUUGUACGGAAAGAAAAGCCUUCUUUUAAUACAGGAGGGUCAUGACGGUACCGUAAGAAUAAGCACCGGCUAACUACGUG